rnacentral:rRNA from 1 species
AGUGAACGCUGGCGGUAGGCCUAACACAUGCAAGUCGAACGGCAGCACAGUAAGAGCUUGCUCUUACGGGUGGCGAGUGGCGGACGGGUGAGGAAUACAUCGGAAUCUACUUUUUCGUGGGGGAUAACGUAGGGAAACUUACGCUAAUACCGCAUACGACCUACGGGUGAAAGCAGGGGAUCUUCGGACCUUGCGCGAUUGAAUGAGCCGAUGUCGGAUUAGCUAGUUGGCGGGGUAAAGGCCCACCAAGGCGACGAUCCGUAGCUGGUCUGAGAGGAUGAUCAGCCACACUGGAACUGAGACACGGUCCAGACUCCUACGGGAGGCAGCAGUGGGGAAUAUUGGACAAUGGGCGCAAGCCUGAUACAGCCAGACCGCGUGGGUGAAGAAGGCCUUCGGGUUGUAAAGCCCUUUUGUUGGGAAAGAAAAGCAGCAGGUUAAUACCCCGCUGUUCUGACGGUACCCAAAGAAUAAGCACCGGCUAACUUCGUG